rnacentral:snRNA from 1 species
AUACUUACCUGACAGGGGAAAUACCAUGAUCACCAGGCCUCUUGUGGGCUAAGAGGUGGUUUUCCCAAGGUGAAGCCUAUCCCUUGCACUCUGGGCCUGUUGACCCCUGUGAGUUUCCCCAAAUGCAGGGUAUUCAACUGCAGAACUUUGUGGCAAUGUGGGACUGCUUUCUUGCUUUCCCCCU